GGACUUUGUAGCCACAGAAUAGGGUAACAUAUUGUGCAUGACAUAGAAGCGGAAGGUCU
rnacentral:tRNA from 1 species